rnacentral:lncRNA from 1 species
AUCCAAACAAGCCUUAAAUCCUAGCUGAAAAACAAAGUAUUAAUUAAACCCAAACAUGAAAGAAAAUAAUAAAAUUAAUUAAUCUGUCAUUAAAUACCAUCAGCCCUUCUUUCCUUAUGUAGCUAGGAUAAAUAAAGAAUUCUUAUAAAAAAAGGAUUCUGAAACAUUAAUGAAUCUUUAUCACACUUAGAGAUUAUAUUACAGCUCAUUAAAGAUCCUUAUGGAACUAGAAAAUUUCCAAACAAGCUCUCACAUCCUUGUAGGAAAAGAAUCAUUGUCAAAUAGGAAGUUCACAAGUCAAAGAGAAGUAAAUAACAAAAUUUAUAGAGCCUAUUCUGACCUAUAUUGUAAGUCCUUCCCGAACUUCAAUUCAUCUGAAAAUUUAUCCCAACAUAGAACAAUACCUUUGGGAUCUUCAGGUCAAGUUUCAGCUCGAUCCAACGGUUGAAUUUCCAGUUAUGCUCAAAAGUGUAAAAUUAGAUAGUAAAAACUUUUACGACAAAAUCUGAAUCUGACCUUGCUUGGAUCGUAUCAAAUGAUAUGUGUGAAGUUUAUGUAGAAUAAAAAUUUAGAAAGACCUUUUUUUAAAAUAAUUAAAAGAAAUAGUAAAGUUAUAUA